rnacentral:pre_miRNA from 1 species
AAGCUUUUGGCUUGGGUUAUAUUGUCACUCGCAGUGUAUAAGACGAGCGAAAAGCUUCU